rnacentral:tRNA from 1 species
GCGCCGCGUCGUGGAUGGGCCAGUUGCUGUUCAGUCUGUCUGUGCUGCCGUGGCUAUGCGCCGCGUUGUGCGCGCUCGGCCCGCGCGCGGCGCU